rnacentral:rRNA from 1 species
UUGAACGCUGGCGGCAGGCCUAACACAUGCAAGUCGAACGGUAACAGGAAGCAGCUUGCUGCUUUGCUGACGAGUGGCGGACGGGUGAGUAAUGUCUGGGAAACUGCCCGAUGGAGGGGGAUAACUACUGGAAACGGUAGCUAAUACCGCAUAACGUCGCAAGACCAAAGAGGGGGACCUUAGGGCCUCUUGCCAUCGGAUGUGCCCAGAUGGGAUUAGCUAGUAGGUGGGGUAAUGGCUCACCUAGGCGACGAUCCCUAGCUGGUCUGAGAGGAUGACCAGCCACACUGGAACUGAGACACGGUCCAGACUCCUACGGGAGGCAGCAGUGGGGAAUAUUGCACAAUGGGCGCAAGCCUGAUGCAGCCAUGCCGCGUGUAUGAAGAAGGCCUUCGGGUUGUAAAGUACUUUCAGCGGGGAGGAAGGGAGUAAAGUUAAUACCUUUGCUCAUUGACGUUACCCGCAGAAGAAGCACCGGCUAACUCCGUGCCAGCAGCCGCGGUAAUACGGAGGGUGCAAGCGUUAAUCGGAAUUACUGGGCGUAAAGCGCACGCAGGCGGUUUGUUAAGUCAGAUGUGAAAUCCCCGGGCUCAACCUGGGAACUGCAUCUGAUACUGGCAAGCUUGAGUCUCGUAGAGGGGGGUAGAAUUCCAGGUGUAGCGGUGAAAUGCGUAGAGAUCUGGAGGAAUACCGGUGGCGAAGGCGGCCCCCUGGACGAAGACUGACGCUCAGGUGCGAAAGCGUGGGGAGCAAACAGGAUUAGAUACCCUGGUAGGCCACGCCGUAAACGAUGUCGACUUGGAGGUUGUGCCCUUGAGGCGUGGCUUCCGGAGCUAACGCGUUAAGUCGACCGCCUGGGGAGUACGGCCGCAAGGUUAAAACUCAAAUGAAUUGACGGGGGCCCGCACAAGCGGUGGAGCAUGUGGUUUAAUUCGAUGCAACGCGAAGAACCUUACCUGGUCUUGACAUCCACGGAAGUUUUCAGAGAUGAGAAUGUGCCUUCGGGAACCGUGAGACAGGUGCUGCAUGGCUGUCGUCAGCUCGUGUUGUGAAAUGUUGGGUUAAGUCCCGCAACGAGCGCAACCCUUAUCCUUUGUUGCCAGCGGUCCGGCCGGGAACUCAAAGGAGACUGCCAGUGAUAAACUGGAGGAAGGUGGGGAUGACGUCAAAUCAUCAUGCCCCUUAUGACCAGGGCUACACACGUGCUACAAUGGCGCAUACAAAGAGAAGCGACCUCGCGAGAGCAAGCGGACCUCAUAAAGUGCGUCGUAGUCCGGAUUGGAGUCUGCAACUCGACUCCAUGAAGUCGGAAUCGCUAGUAAUCGUGGAUCAGAAUGCCACGGUGAAUACGUUCCCGGGCCUUGUACACACCGCCCGUCACACCAUGGGAGUGGGUUGCAAAAGAAGUAGGUAGCUUAACCUUCGGGAGGGCGCUUACCACUUUGUGAUUCAUGACUGGGGUG